GGGGCAUUAGCUCAGCUGGGAGAGUGCUUGCAUGGCAUGCAAGAGGUCAGGGGUUCAAUCCCCCUAUGCUCCA
rnacentral:tRNA from 1 species